GUUGAGGGGUUCCUUGCUGGUAAAGCACCCAUGAAGCCAUUCCCUGGUGACAAACCAUCUAAGGGUAAUGAAAAGGGAGCACCUCAUGAACCUAAACCUCCUCAUAGACACUUAUUGAGUGUGGAAGUUGAGGGCACACAUAAACCUCCACAACACUCAGGUGGUAAACCUCCACGACAUUCAGGGGGUAAACCUCCACAUGUUGAAGGAUUCCCUGGUGACAAACCAUCCAAGGGUAAGGGAAAGGGGGCACCUCAUGAACCCAAACCUCCUCACAGACACCUAUUGAGUGUGGAAGUUGAGGGCACACAUAAACCUCCACAACAAUCAGGUGGUAAACCUCCACGACAUUCAGGGGGUAAACCUCCACAUGUUGAAGGAUUCCCUGGUGACAAACCAUCCAAGGGUAAGGGAAAGGGAGCACCUCAUGAACCCAAACCUCCUCAUAGACACCUAUUGAAUGUCGAAGUUGAGGACACACAUAAGCCUCCACAACACUCAGGGGGUAAACCUCCACAUGUUGAAGGAUUCCCCGACGGUAAGCCACCCAUGAAACCAUUCCCCGGUGACAAACCAUCCAAGGGUAAGGGAAAGGGAGUACCUCAUGAACCUAAACCUCCUCAUAGACACCUCUUAAGUGAGCCACACAAAUAUGUGAUACCACCCAAAGGUAAGGGAGAGAAGCCUCCCCAUGAGCAGAAACCACACCAUGGACACCACCCAGGGCACCAUCUGGGAAUAGAAAAUUAAAGCAUAAAUCAUCCUAAGGUUCCCAUCAACCUACAGUUAGAAGAUCAUCAUCAGCGUGUAUGGUAGGACUAUUUUACUAUAGGAAUAACAGUUGAUGUUGAUUUAUCCUUUUAUUAGUUGUGUAGCUAUCUAGUUACGUAUAUUUUGUUCCUGGCUUGGAGGUUGUGCCGUGCCUACCUCAUGACUAUGUUGUUUUAGAAAUUCCAGCCUCAUCUAUGGUUCGACAUUUUAUGAUAUGAACUCUAUAUAUUAACUAGUUUGGGAUCUUUUGCUUUCUAAGUUUAUUUCACCUAUUGAACUAUCUAAC
rnacentral:lncRNA from 1 species